rnacentral:lncRNA from 13 species
CUCUACGCAGACGACACCAUUCUGUAUACAUCUGGCCCUUCUUUGGACACUGUGUUAACAAACCUCCAAAUGAGCUUCAAUGCCAUACAACACUCCUUCCGUGGCCUCCAACUGCUUUUAAAUGCUAAUAAAACUAAAUACAUGCUCUUCAACCGAUUGUUGCCUGCACCCUCCCGCCCGACCAGCAUCCCUACUCUGGACGCUUCUGACUUAGAAUAUGUGGACAACUACAAAUACCUAGGUGUCUGGCUAGACUGUAAACUCUCCUUCCAGACUCACAUCAAGCAUCUCCAAUUCAAAAUUAAAUCUAGAAUUGGCUUCCUAUUUCGUAACAAAGCCUCCUUCACUCAUGCUGCCAAACAUACCCUUGUAAAACUGACUACCCUACCGAUCCUUGACUUCAGCGAUGUCAUUUACAAAAUAGCCUCCAACACUCUACUCAGCAAAUUGGAUGUAGUCUAUCACAGUGCCAUCCGUUUUGUCACCAAAAUCCCAUAUACUACCCACCACUGCAAUAUGUAUGCUCUCGUUGGCUGGCCCUCGCUACUUAUUCAUCGCCAAACCCACUGGCUCCAGGUCAUCUAUAAGUCUUUGCUAGGUAAAGCCCUGCCUUAUCUCAGCUCACUGGUCACCAUAGCAACACCCACCCGUAGCAAGCGCUCCAGCAGGUACAUUGCACUGGUCAUCCCCAAAGCCAACACCUCUUUUGCCGCCUUUCCUUCCAGUUCUCUGCUGCAAAUGACUGGAACAAAUUGCAAAAACCACUGAAGCUGGAGACUCUCCCUCUCUAACUUUAAGCAUCAGCUGUCAGAGCAGCUUACCAAUCACUGUACCUGUACACAGCCCAUUUGUAAAUAGCAGUGUUAAAAAAAUUAAUUUUAAAAAGCCAAUUGAAUUGAAUUGAGAGAGAGCGAGAGGGAGAGAGAGUAAGAGAGAGAGAGAGAUGGAGGAGUGAGAGAGGGGGCAGUGAGAGAGAGAGAGAUGCGUUUUUUACAUGUGAAAAUGUUCAUUUGAUUUUCACAUGUCAAAGGUAUUUCACAGAUUUCACGUUUUUU